GACGAACGCUGGCGGCGCGCUUUAUACAUGCAAGUCGAACGUGAAGCUCGGAGCUUGCUCCGGGUGGAAAGUGGCGAACGGGUGAGUAUCACGUGAGAAACCUGCCCCGAAGACCGGGAUAACACCGGGAAACCGGUGCUAAUACCGGAUGCCCUCACCGGAUCGCAUGGUCUGGUGAGGAAAUGGAUUCCGCUUCGGGAUGGUCUCGCGGCCUAUCAGCUUGUUGGUGGGGUAACGGCCCACCAAGGCUUCGACGGGUAGCUGGUCUGAGAGGAUGUCCAGCCACACUGGGACUGAGACACGGCCCAGACUCCUACGGGAGGCAGCAGUAGGGAAUCUUGCACAAUGGACGAAAGUCUGAUGCAGCGACGCCGCGUGUGGGAUGACUGCCCUCGGGUUGU
rnacentral:rRNA from 1 species